GCCAGGUGUGGUGGCGCACACCUGUAGUCCCACCUACUCAGGAGGCUGAGGCAGGAGAAUCGCUUGAACCUGGGAGGCAGAGGCUGCAGUGAGCCGAGAUCACACCACUGCACUCCAGCCUGGGUGACAGAGUGAGACUCUGUCUCAA
rnacentral:SRP_RNA from 2 species